UAACCCAAUUCACACUGUCAACGUCAAGACAAAAUUAAACGUAAAUAUUGAAAAUUUAACGGUAUUGAAAUAUGGAAAAAUUACUGGUACUUCGCUCUAAAGGUAUGCUACGACCUUACUGCCACGAAUGUGAAUCCUUGGUGGACCUGGAACCUUUUUAUACCCAUCGCAGGAAUUUGGAUGCCGACGACUCACGAACAUCCUCGGAACCAAUCGUUGAAUAAAAAUGCAAUUGGGAAAACUUAAUAAAAAUAGAGUUUUUCCUCAUGAAAACGGUGAAAACAGCGGGACAAAAGCUGGCCACAUGUGUACAAGAAAACCGGCUUUUCAGGAAAACCGCGGGAAACUGAAUCAUGAUUUAUAUUAUAUUUUACCACACCGGGCAUGCCCCUUCAUUUAACAGGGCUUCCCAAGUUUUAGGCAUUUGUGGUUCUUUAUUAUCCUAAGAAUAACCAGGGCUGAAAACAAUAAGGCCAGAGACUACAACAUAGUCAACGGAGAACUAGGCAUAACCUAUAAGAAAUCAAACCUUUCUAGGAUACUAUCAGGCUAGAAACCUCUUUAAGUUAGUUUCUUUAUGUAUGUUUACAAUUAUAAACCCCUCAUGACUCACAGGUAAAGCCUAAAAUGUAUCUUUUUGUUAUGUAAAUUAUAAAUUUAGAGGUUAAAAUGUUAACGGAGCAAAAUUAUCUAAGUUGUCUUAUAAAAGACCGCCUGGGCUUACCCUUAUUACUAUAAAAUAAAGACAAAAUCUUGUAACUUCGUUACAAGAUAUCGGUCACCUCUUCCAUCUCCAAGUUUUCACACGCGCAUCACAGUGGCUUAGUCUAAACUUUGGACUCAUCCGUAAACAGAACGUGGCUCCAUUAUUCCAUGUUCCAAUUCAAAUGAUUGCGGCAAAAAUUCAGGCAAGCUCUUCGUUGCACUCUGGUUAAUUGAGGCCUAACAGCUCUAACUCUUGACCGCAUACCACUUGCAUGAAGCCUAUUUCUUACAGUUUGUGUUGAUAUGCGCCGCCCUGUAUCAUUAAAAUGAAUAUCAACGAGGUUCUGCGCUAUCAUUGUUGUAUUUUGUGUAGCAGAUCUUACCAAAUUACGAUCUUUACGAGGUGUUGUUACCCUUUCUCUUUGCGGAUAAGGUUUUCUUGUCACCGGGUCAAGCUCUUGAGAUCUCGUGAUUAAUCUUAAUAUUACCGAAUGACUUACUUGAAGUCUUCGAGCAAAACUUCUAACGGAAAAACGUUCUUGAUGUGAAACAACUGCCCGCAUUACUUCCAUUUGAUUUAAAUGUCUUCUUUGACCAACAAGUCUUCCCAAUACAUCAACAUUCAUUUUAAAUAAAAAAAGUUGCAAAUAAAAACAAAGUGAAACUUGAAGUUGAAGAAGUAAUCCAAGUCAUUUCAUCCAUCCAUCCAUUUCAAAGUGAAAUUGUUUCGCUCAAGGCAAAUGUCAAAUUACCAAUGAAUACAUUUCUCAAAGAUUGUGUUUUUUCAAACAAAAAAAAGAAUCUAUCUGCUAAAUAUAUUUUAAAAAAAGAAUGUUUACUUACGAAAUAUUACUGUGUCUGUUUAAUAUUUUUCACCUUUGCUAUUAUAAAUAAUAGCAAAGGUGAUUUAAAAAUUGAUAAAACUACGAGUGUUUUUAAUAGUGGUCCUUAUUUUGUUUUGACUAGUUUAACUUACUUGUGGCGUUCCAUCCCAGACCACUCUUCUACCAACCCUAGCGUUAAUGGUACUGCUAGCAUCUUGGUCUGAAAAACUAAAAAGCAUGGGCGAGACCAUCCUGGCCUGUUCGUGUUCAUCGAAUUGACCAGCGGCUUCGGUUGAUGUACCUGACUGCUUAAAAACUAAUGGCAGACCUGUUUUAUUUACGAUCCAGUAGGGAGCAAAAAUGUUUAUCUAAAAAUUAAUGUAUUAAAGUAUGAAAAUUAAUAAAAUAACUAAAUAAGUA